rnacentral:rRNA from 1 species
CAAUAUUAGGGCCAUGUUCAGAAUCUCACCAUCAUUCUUAAAGCAGGUGCAUCACAAGAUCUUUGGGUUUGGCACAUUUUCUUUGGCAUGCUCAAGUCUCACAAUGAUAUCUACAUGUUGCGGCGGUCUCCAUUGUUUACUAGAUUGAUUGAAGGUCAAGCUCCUUGGUGCAACUAUACCACCAAUGGUCAUGAUUACAACAUGGGCUAUUAUCUGGUUGAUGGUAUCUAUACUCCCUGGGCAACAUUUAUCAAGACUAUCUCUGACCUAGUUGGUUAG